rnacentral:tRNA from 1 species
GGGGAUUUAGCUCAGUGGCAUAAGCGCCUGCCUUGCAAGCAGUCCUGAGUUCAAUCCCCG